ensembl:lncRNA
GCGCUCGUCCUUCAGAAGGUCAGGGAGGAGGCCACGCCCCGCGGCGUACGGUGGCCCAGAGGCGUCAGCGCGGGUCUUGCGUCAGUCUGCAGCAUCACGUUAAAAUUAAAAAAUAUAUUAUUAUUACACUUUUAUUCUUCUAGCAUAAUUUCAUAUUCACCGUUAAUAAUGUUGAUCAGGUGAAUAAUGCUUGCUCUUGUGGCACUGAAUUAAUAAAAUAUUAUUACUGUACUCUACAAUUAAAACCAUUAAAAACAUUUUUCUCACCUAUUUUAUUUCAGCAAGUUUCGAGGCAACAUUUCUCAUUUUGGAGCACUAAACAGAAUCAAUAAAACUAGAACUCAAAUAAAGAUUAGACAUAUUUAAAAAACCUAAUAAAAAUAUUCAAAACAAAACAGAACAUAUAUAUUAAAACACUUAUUAUAAUAACAUGAAAUAAAAACGGUAUACAUAUUUGAAACAACCAAAAAUGAUAGAAAAUGACAAAACACACAUCUCCGUCAUAUAUUCAUGUCUGUUUUUGUAUAGUUCUUAUGGAAUAAAAGGUUUUAUUAAUCACUAUAUGCUCAGAUAGAUGUUAAAUAUAUAAUUACAUUCAUAUGGAGAUCAUUUUAAUCUGCAGCGCGUGGUCUUUCAUAAUAAAGUGACCUUUCGGCUGUAGGUUUACAACUGAUGAGUGUUACACUCUUUACACUCUUAAUAUUAAUAUGUUAUGAAUUUGCUUCGAAGCGAUCUGUGAUUAUGAACACAGCAGCAUUAGAACAGUCCUGCAGUAAUGACAGUAAUUCAACCUAACGUCACCCACCCUAGUGUGCUGUCUAUCUAGUGCGGCGGCGGGGCGUGUUUUUGAGCCGCGUCCCGCGCGGUGCACUGUGGGCUGCUGGAGGAGCGCAGGGUCAGACUGACGCGAACAUGGCCGCGGUGUGUUUCUCCUUGAGCCGCUGCUGCGCCGCCGGACACCGAGCCUCGCUCACGGCGGUGCGGUCAGCGCAGACAGCAGCGGCGGCGGCGGUUCAGCCCAGGAUCAAGACCUUCCAGAUCUACCGCUGGGAUCCGGACC